rnacentral:rRNA from 1 species
UACGAAGGGGGCUAGCGUUGUUCGGAAUUACUGGGCGUAAAGCGCGCGCAGGCGGUCUUCCAAGUCAGUGGUGAAAGCCCGGAGCUCAACUCCGGAACUGCCAUUGAAACUGUUUAGCUUGAGGAUGAGAGAGGUGAGUGGAAUUCCCAGUGUAGAGGUGAAAUUCGUAGAUAUUGGGAAGAACACCGGUGGCGAAGGCGGCUCACUGGCUCAUUACUGACGCUCAGGCGCGAUAGCGUGGGGGUCAAACAGG